UAAAAAAAUAUUUUCAUCCAAUGAUCUUGAUAUAAUAGAACACCUUAAUCCAUCAUGAGUAUGAUCAUAUAUGUAUGUUUUAUUCUCUUUGCCAAAUAGUUUUGAUAACAAAUCAAGUAAUAUGUGCAACAUACUACUAAUCAUGCUAUAUUUUUUUAUAGUUGAGGAAUUCCAUCAUGUUAUAUGUUUUUAUAGUUGAGGAAUUCCAACAUAUGAGACAUAAUUGAUGGAUGUAUAUCAGACAUAAUUGAUGGAUGUAUGCGAUAUAUCCCACCGACGUGACUAUAAGUAUUAUCUCACAAAUUAGUUAUAUAUUGUAAAUAAGUUUUGAAAAAAAAUAAAUACAUUAUCCAAAUGAUUAAAGGUGUCUCAUGUGAUUAUCAACGAUAGGUGUUGAAAAGAAACCAAACGCUAAACUAUAGAUAUUUGUUAAAAUUUAAAUAAUAAGAUAGUGCUUUGAAGAUUAUCUUGGUGGUAUGUCUUCUUAGCUAUAAUUUUUUAGUACCACCGAAUGAACCUCGGUCAUUUUUUAAAGAGAAUAUUUUGUUUAUAUCAUACUUAUUUAUGAAGUAAUAGUUAACACCAUAAAUAAAUGGUGUUUACUCUAUACCAUAAAUCUACUCGAAAAUUAAAACAAAAACACUAUUCUGAUCACAUUCAUCUUCUCUUUGUCCUUUACUGAAGGGCACCAAGCAUAGACAACAGAGUUUGCUACGCUAACAUAAGUAUAGCAAGGGCAAACAUAUGGCUAAGUUGAAGUGUGCUAGACUUACUAUUUAUCGAUGCCAUACUCCAUGAGGGUGUGGUGUGAAUUAGGCAUUAAAGUUGUGCUCGAGACUGGUAUGGAGGGGCACCACUAUAUCGAUACAAGACCCAUGUUUCAAGGAAACACACAGAAAGUAAGUUUUGCUGCUACAAUCGACUUCACCCAGCAGAGGGACAUUUAUAUUUCACUUUAACGAUUUGGAAAAUAAGUCAGACAUGAACACUUAGGUGCAGUGGAUAAUUUAGUGUAUUAAUGAUCUAUUAGACUUAUUUUAUUGGUAUAUAUAUGCAGUUUUAUCUAUUAAUAGGUACUUAGCUUCUAAACUAUGAUAAUGAGUUGAAGUGACAACCCAGACAAAGUGAUAUGGGAGACAUCCUUAUCAUUUAUAUAUAAUAAAGUCUACAGUUUGAAGUGACAACCAGGACAAAGUGAUCUUUUUUAAUAUGGGAGACAUCCUUAUCAUUUAUAUAUAUUAAAGUCUACAGUCUAUUUCACAGCGUAUAAAUGAUGCGAUAUAACUUAUAUUAACAUUUUUUUCAUUAAACUAUAAAUAAGAUAAUGAUGCGAUAUAACUUAUAUUAACAUUGUUUUCAUUAAACUAUAAAUAAGAUACCCGCGCAUCUGCGCAGACUUCCUUUCUAGUUUAGCUAAAGCUAGUAACACAUUCAUCAACAUUCACAAGAGUUUCAGCCUUCCAUGAGAAUAUAUAACUACUAGAGAACCAAUCUUUACUCGAUAGGCAAAAAUAGAAAAUAUGUCAGAUGUUUAACGAACCAGUUCUAAAGAAGGUCUUUAGCACCGGUUAAAACACACAACGACACAUCGCUAUCUUUUUUAUCGGUUGGUAACACCAACGGGUACUAAACACCAUCUUUAGUCCCGGAUCACACUUGUCAGAACAUGUCAGGCCUCCCGGGAUCUUUAGAACCGGUUUGUGGCAAUAACUGAUACUAAAGAUCACUACUUUAUUACCGGUUGGUGAUACAAACCGGUACUAAAGAUAAUUUUGAUCUUUACUACUAGUUGGUGUUACCACCAGGUACUAAAGAUCGUUGCUUUUUAUACUCUUCUUCCUUCUCCAGCCCGAGCCAUUGUUGCAAGUGAAAGAAGGAGGAAGAGAGAAGCUGCCAACUUUUUUUUUGAAAAUAUUUUGGUGAAAUUAUACGAAUCGAAGAGAUUUAAAAGGAGUUUAUUGAUGGCGUGCAUUAUUUUUUGAGUGUGGACAAUGCCUACAAGUCUAAGGGUUUUAUAUGUUGUCCAUGCACAAGGUGCAAAAACUAGAAGCAUUCUUCAUCAACAGCUCUUAAUAUCCACUUGAUGCAAUUGGGAUUCAUGCCUAGCUAUAACUGUUGGACCUUGCACGGAGAGUUAGGGGUUGCAAUAGAAGAGGAUGAAGAAGAAGACGAUAACAUUUCGGACUGGGUUCAAUACGGUGGAUUUGCAGAAAAUACAAUAGGCGUGGCGGACAGUGCUAUUGAAGAAAACAAGGGUGCGGAUGAUCUUGGUCGGAGUUGUGUGACGUAAAGAAGGACUACGAAAGUGGAAAGGAUGUCCAAAAAUUGAAGCGUAUGUUAGCGGACCACACAAAAUGUCAUUGUACCUAGAUUGCGAACAAGGGCAGAAAAAGUUGGGUACCAUGCUGAAA